rnacentral:sRNA from 1 species
GUUCUUUCUUUCCGGACCUGGCCGAGCAGGAGGCGCCAUCAUGGGAGUGGACAUCCGCCACAACAAGGACCGAAAGGUUCGGCGCAAGGAGCCCAAGAGCCAGGAUAUCUACCUGAGGCUGUUGGUCAAGUUAUACAGGUUUCUGGCCAGAAGAACCAACUCCACAUUCAACCAGGUUGUGUUGAAGAGGUUGUUUAUGAGUCGCACCAACCGGCCGCCUCUGUCCCUUUCCCGGAUGAUCCGGAAGAUGAAGCUUCCUGGCCGGGAAAACAAAACAGCCGUGGUUGUGGGGACCAUAACGGAUGACGUGCGGGUUCAGGAGGUGCCCAAACUGAAGGUGAGCUGGCGGGGGCUAGGCAGACCCAUCAGAUCCUUGCUGUGCUGUGCUGUGCUGGUCCAUCCUUAGUCUUGCCACCGCUGGUGAGGCAAGCAUCCUGCCUGUCUGAGUGGCUUUGAGGAUUGGUGUGGGUCGUCUCUGGCAUUGUUGAUGGUGGGGUCCCCUGGGCAAGCUUCUUCUGGGGCAAGUUGUAAGCUGUUAGUGCUGGCCCCUAGAGCCAGACAGCCUGGGCUCAAGUCUAGACUCCUUUGUCACCUCUGAACAAGUCAUUUUUUUGGCCCAGCCUACUUGCUGUUGUUUGUAGCAUAACACUAGGGAUGUGGUGUUAAAAGUUCCUAGAGAUAAAGUGUUGAGAACAGCUGCUGUCAGCCCAGGGUGCUCCAGGUAAUAAAUGAUAGUGUUGGUUACCAGGGCUCUGCUGUGCCAAGGCAGUGGAGGGUGAGUCCUGUCAGCCCCUGGGUGACCACGCAGGGGUCUGACCCGCCAGCCUUGUCCUUUCCACCAGGUAUGUGCACUGCGCGUGACCAGCCGGGCCCGCAGCCGCAUCCUCAGGGCAGGGGGCAAGAUCCUCACUUUCGACCAGCUGGCCCUGGACUCCCCUAAGGGCUGCGGCACUGUCCUGCUCUCCGGUGAGUGAUGCGAAGUCAAUGGGGUUGGAGUGAGCUGUGUGGCUACUGGCAGCCUUCACCCUUCUGGAUCUGGGAGGCCAGAAGCUGGGCGCCAGAU